UAUGUAGGGGGCAAGCGUUGUCCGGAUUUAUUGGGCGUAAAGAGCGUGUAGGCGGCCAGGUAGGUCUGCUGUGAAAACUCGAGGCUUAACCUCGAGCUGUCGGCGGAAACCAUCUGGCUAGAGUCCGGAAGAGGAGAAUGGAAUUCCCGGUGUAGCGGUGAAAUGCGCAGAUAUCGGGAAGAACACCCGUGGCGAAGGCGGUUCUCUGGGACGGUACUGACGCUGAGACGCGAAAGCGUGGGGAGCGAACAGG
rnacentral:rRNA from 1 species